AUUCAACACAAAUAAUUCAUCAUGUUAUGAAUUGAAGGUGACCUACUAUGCUUUUUUUGCACAAAAUCAUUCUUAGAUCAUGAGAUUUUUUUGUCUGGUCAGUUCUGAUUAUGAGCUUCGUUUAGAAUGAGCUGCUUUAGGGCCUUUUGUCACUUUAACAUCCACCAACUCAACGUUUACACUUGCACUUGAAAAUGGCUGCAAACAGAUAAAUUAUUAUACAACCUUACAUCUUUGAAAAGCAGAAGUAGGGCCUCAUGCACAACCAACAAGAAUGUGGUUUCUGGAUGGUAAGUGAACAACAGAACACUUGUCUUUUCUAGCAGCCCUUGUGCAGCGCAUACAGCGGGAAAUCCAGUUGACCAAACAUGCUGGAAUUCUGCAUGGGCUGCUAGGUAACGGGCCUGGGCUCAGCUUGAGUUGCUAGGUAAUGGGCAGAACUCUGUUUGGGUUGCUAGGUAACGGGCCUGGGCUCAGCUUGAGUUGCUAGGUAACUGUGCAGUGCCUGUUGAAUGUGACUCAGAAUCGGCAGGUUUUUUGAAAUGGUUCAUUUUCCAGACACCAAAAAAACAUGAACUAUUGCCAAAUAAUGGUUCUAUGUGUCUGUUUUUAGAAGCAGUAGAGGCACAAAUGGAAGUAUAAAAAUGUGCAAAAUGUGAAUUUUGCAUAAUAGAUCUCCUUUAAAUCUUGAUGUAUGACUAAAAAAAACAAAUUAUUAUUAGAAAACUGCCAGGGAUUCACAUCCAUAUGUUUAUUCCCAUAGUUAGAUUUUUUAAAAGAAAUGUAUUUUAACAUAAUUACUGAAUAUUAUCUUACAUUUUUAAUAAAAUAAUAAUAAUAGAAGGCUGUCAAUCACACAUUCAUUAAGUCAAGUGUGUGGCAACAGGGAAACAUCUGUGUUGCACGUUGUUUUAGUUGUUAGAAAUACAUUAAGAACUUUUUUUAGACAAUAAAAUUUAUAUUGCCGUGAUCCAUUGAUGUUUGAGUUUUAGGUUUCAUUUGUGUUCUUUUUUUAAAUAAUUUCUUGUUUUUCCUCAUUAGGUUUCUUUGUUAGUGUUAUCUUUUCUGCUAAUUGUUUGUGUGCCAGGUUUAGCUCCAUGGUUUUCCUUCCUCCAUUUUCUCUGCUCUGCUUAUCUUUCACCUUCCCUUUCAGUCUGCUUCCUUCUCAGAUGUUUUCCAUCUCCUGAUUUCCUUCCGCCUGUUCUCCCCCCAGCUGUUUUUACUUGCUUCUGAUUAGCUCAUCUUCUCCAGUCUAUAGCGCAUGUAUUGCUCCCUGGUUUCAUUGUUCUCUACUGGCUCCAUUAGUUUCUUUUCCUGUAAAUAUUUUUUUCUUCCCCCCAUUAAAUGAUAUACUUUAUGACAAUUUUCAGUUCUUGUGUGCAUUUUGGUCUAACAAUGUGACCUAAAUAAAAAGUUUGGAAACUGCACAACUUUUCUUUAAGGCAAAUGUCUGAGACGCUUUUUGAGACCUACAGUAAUUUAGUUCUUUUCUGCGAUGCUACAUUAAAUAUUGCAUGUUUAAUUUAUUGGCAAGCAGGUGGGAAGAUAAUAAUUCACAAUUAACUGUGAGGAAAAUGAUGUUACUUUCAACUUGGUGAUUUUCGUAGUCCAAUGUGAUAAUUUCUAUAUGCCACUGCCUGACAUUGAGCUCAACCACCUGACGGAUGAAGCUCAUUUAUCUUGUUUGCAUCUGGGAUUUAUGAUGCGUUUAAGUUACCUGGGAAAUGAGAACUUGGAGCUGGGUUUGACAUUAGACCCAAGGUAACAGCAUUUUAGUUAAGAAGUCAGAAUUUCAAUAGACACUGUUCGCAUUACCUCUUACAAACAUAAUUUUAAGCUUUACUUUCUUUAAGCAAAAACAACUUUUAAUUUUCAAUUUAAAAUUCCAGGCGCUACAAGUAACAUUAAUAUUAGAUGCAUUCUUACUUAAGUUUCUUGUAAAACACACAUUUCCACCAAAGGUUGAUACAAGGAGCGGCCAUUUUGAAAUGCAAAGUCGGCCUUACAAGUCGUAGCUGUGGACAGUCGGGGUUGCUCCCAGUUUCCCAGUGGGAAAUCCGACUUUGUAGGGCGUUCCAGUUUUCUUUUUUCCCCAACAAAAUCUGAAUUUCCCAGUUCUGAGUACAACUGGAAAGCAGCGUAAGUUGGGAUACUUUCAGUGCUGUGGAAGCUGAUCAGUAGCUUCCUGAGGAACGUUUAAUGUUCCUCAGGAAGAACAAUCUCUCCUGGGCUUUUAAAUGACUCAUAAAGUGUUUCAGUUCCAGGUCAAUUUAUUAGUAAGAGUUGAAUUUUGGGACUCUUUCCACCUUCUCUCCUUUAAAGUGGACCUAUCAUGCAAAAUUCAUAUUUUGUAUGUUUUAUAUUUCCAUUUGAGUCAACUGCUUCUACAAACAUCCCAGGUGUUUAAAAAUCCCACAUGGAUGAUUUUUGUAAAUAAGUUAAUGUUUUUGGUGUUUGGAAAAUGAGCCUAUUCAAAACCUCUAUUGUUGAGCCACACUGCAUCGUUACCUAGCAACCCACGCUGAGUUCCAGCACGUUUGAUUGGCUGGUUUUACCUCUGUAUGCUUUGUACAUUGACUGCUGGAAAAAACAAGUGUUUUUGUUGCUGACUUACUAUCCAGAAACCACUUGCUGCAUUCUUGUUGGUUGUGCAGGAGGCUCCACUUCUGCUUUUCAAAGAUGUAUAGUUGUAUAAUUGGGCAUCUGUUUGCUGGUAUUUUCAGGUGCGAGUGUAAACGAUGAGUGGGGCUCAUUCUGAAGUGAUCUGAAAAUAGGCAAACCUCAGAAGACUAAAACCUCAUUAUCUAAGAAUUAUUUUGUGCUAAAAAUGUAAUAAGCAUGUUUUGUUUCGCCCAUAGACAUUUGCUAACUUGUUCAAGGAAGCAUAAUAAAUUACCUUUAAUGCACAAACCAUUAUUAUGAUUCCUGUUGCUCUUUUGUUACUAUUUAUGCUGGUAAAAAUAAAGUACAUUCUGAAUGAUAUUUAUUAAGGAAUGUAGCUUAAUAUAUCUUGUAAUCAACAGAAAGUUGAUGCAAUUUUAAGGUUUUAGUUUGGUUCCUUUCAGUCCAAAAGCAAGGCUAGAAGGUGGAUUUAGAUUUUGUUUUUUUUUAACCUUUAUAGAUGGUAGUGUUGAGGGAAGCUGUGUGCACUAAAAGCUCUGCAAUUUGUACUUUACUUAAUGCUUGCUUGAUGUUUUUCUUUCAAAAAGUCAGAACUGUCAUCCCUGAAUAAAAGUUUGGUGUGUAAAA